rnacentral:rRNA from 1 species
GAUGAACGCUGGCGGCGUGCCUAAUACAUGCAAGUCGAGCGAACAGAUGAGAAGCUUGCUUCUCUGAUGUUAGCGGCGGACGGGUGAGUAACACGUGGGUAACCUACCUAUAAGACUGGGAUAACUCCGGGAAACCGGGGCUAAUACCGGAUAAUAUUUUGAACCGCAUGGUUCGAUAGUGAAAGACGGUUUCGGCUGUCACUUAUAGAUGGACCCGCCCCGUAUUAGCUAGUUGGUAAGGUAACGGCUUACCAAGGCGACGAUACGUAGCCGACCUGAGAGGGUCAGCGGCCACACUGGAACUGAUACACGGGCCAGACUCCUACGGGAGGCAGCAGUAGGGAAUCUUCCGCAAUGGGCGAAAGCCUGACGGAGCAACGCCGCGUGAGUGAUGAAGGUCUUCGGAUCGUAAAACUCUGUUGUUAGGGAAGAACAAAUUUGUUAGUAACUGAACAAGUCUUGACGGUACCUAACCAGAAAGCCACGGCUAACUACGUGCCAGCCGCCGCGGUAA